UACAGAGGGGGCGAGCGUUGUUCGGAAUUACUGGGCGUAAAGGGCGCGUAGGCGGCCUGCUAAGUCAUACGUGAAAUCCCUCGGCUCAACCGAGGAACUGCGUCUGAUACUGGUUGGCUUGAAUUCGGGAGAGGGGUGCGGAAUUCCAGGUGUAGCGGUGAAAUGCGUAGAUAUCUGGAGGAACACCGGUGGCGAAGGCGGCAUCCUGGACCGAGAUUGACGCUGAUGCGCGAAAGCCAGGGGAGCAAACGGG
rnacentral:rRNA from 1 species